CUGAACCUUCGGGGAACGAUAACGGCGUCGAGCGGCGGACGGGUGAGUAAUGCCUAGGAAAUUGCCCUGAUGUAAAAGAUAACCAUUGGAAACGAUGGCUAAUACCGCAUGAUGCCUACGGGCCAAAGAGGGGGACCUUCGGGCCUCUCGCGUCAGGAUAUGCCUAGGUGGGAUUAGCUAGUUGGUGAGGUAAGGGCUCACCAAGGCGACGAUCCCUAGCUGGUCUGAGAGGAUGAUCAGCCACACUGGAACUGAGACACGGUCCAGACUCCUACGGGAGGCAGCAGUGGGGAAUAUUGCACAAUGGGCGCAAGCCUGAUGCAGCCAUGCCGCGUGUAUGAAGAGCUAGCUCGGGUUGUAAAGUACUUUCAGUCGUGAGGAAGGCGGUGUCGUUAAUAGCGGCGUCGUUUGACGUUAGCGACAGAAGAAGCACCGGCUAACUCCGUGCCAGCAGCCGCGGUAAUACGGAGGGUGCGAGCGUUAAUCGGAAUUACUGGGCGUAAAGCGCAUGCAGGUGGUUUGUUAAGUCAGAUGUGAAAGCCCGGGGCUCAACCUCGGAAUAGCAUUUGAAACUGGCAGACUAGAGUACUGUAGAGGGGGGUAGAAUUUCAGGUGUAGCGGUGGGGUGCGUAGAGAUCUGAAGGAAUACCGGUGGCGAAGGCGGCCCCCUGGACAGAUACUGACACUC
rnacentral:rRNA from 1 species